rnacentral:rRNA from 1 species
UACAGAGGUCUCAAGCGUUGUUCGGAUUCAUUGGGCGUAAAGGGUGUGUAGGUGGCGCCGUAAGUCGGGUGUGAAAUUUCGGAGCUUAACUCCGAAACUGCAUUCGAUACUGCGGUGCUUGAGGACUGGAGAGGAGACUGGAAUUUACGGUGUAGCAGUGAAAUGCGUAGAUAUCGUAAGGAAGACCAGUGGCGAAGGCGGGUCUCUGGACAGUUCCUGACACUGAGACACGAAGGCCAGGGGAGCGAACGGG